AUUUGCUGAAAUGUUGAAUUAAUUUUCUUCAUUGCGUAUUCAGCACCGUCAAUCUUAUUUCGUACGUGAUAUACUGAUCCAAAUCCACCUCUUCCUAGUAAAGAAUACUCCUCAAAGUCCUCUAUGUAACGAGAGUUUCUUGACUGUAACCAACUCUCAAGCGUAAGAUCACGGAAUCGGAACUGUCUUACAUUUAAUCCAUCUACAGAGAAUUUCGAAAGAGCAGUUUCUUGUGGAAAUUUUUCAAAUACAUUGGUGGGAUCGGGUAGUGCUAAAAGUCGCUCUUCAGCAUCGUCGAGACGGAUUGCCUCACGCGCUUGCAGAAUCAAAUGGUGUAAAGCAUCCUGAUAAUUGGAUCUAACGGCUGCAAGUUCUUCAAUAUAUUCUUCUUCCAAAAUACCUAUUUUUUGAAGAGUAUGGCAAAUUAAAGCAAAAAGUCGUUUGGACUUGGCAGGAUUAUUGUCAUACAGUUCUUUAAUAAGUAAGCAAGUAGUUCACAUGAAACGAGAGCUUAGACAUACGACAAAAAUUUUCCAACAAAGCAGUUAAAAGCAUCCGCCCUAAUAAAUACAUUAGCUUAGGUUGUCAAUGACCAAUAUUUUUAGUUCGUCAACUGCUUUAUACACACAGUUGUAAUUAAUUCCUACCAUGUUUAUUGACAGACAAAUCCCUUGAUUGUCUUUCAUUUUUUAAACUUAUUGCAUUUGUUGUCUCUGAGUAAUUCCCAUCUUCCGCUGACUUGUGAGCGUUGAAAAAUCGCAUAUUUGUGAUGAUGGAAGUGAAAAAGGCAUUAAGAAAACAACCAGUUUUUUUCUGCACUUAUCAAAAUAUUUGUCAAAAUCCCGUUAAUCGCAACCAGCUAAUCUCGUAUCUUACAAUGGAAGGUUAGAGAAUUGUUAAUGGAAACUUUGUGGUUGACUUUUCAGAUCAUGAAAGUAACAUUAGGAGAAUUUAACUCUACAGCUAAAAUACAUGGUUUCUACUGACUAUGGUCGUGUUAACGAUAAGUAUGUAUUUGUACUGUUAAAAAUUCAGAUAAGUAAUUAUAAUCAGUCUUCUUUUUUGAACUUCUUCAUUCGUGAAAAAGCAAGUCAAUUUUUAAAUUAGCAUCGUAAACAGUAAGCCAAAGAUACAUUUAUAAUCUAAAUCAAAGCAAAAAGAAUCCAGCUCGAAACUGAAUUUAUAAAACCAAUUUGUUUAAAGAAUUGAUAUAUUUUAUUACCAGAUAAAUGUUGUGGACAGAAAUCAUUUGAAUUAUUAAUU